rnacentral:rRNA from 1 species
GACGAACGCUGGCGGCGUGCUUAACACAUGCAAGUCGAACGGACAGGCCCUGCUUUUGUGGGGUUCUCGAGUGGCGAACGGGUGAGUAACACGUGAGUAACCUGCCCUUGACUUUGGGAUAACUUCAGGAAACUGGGGCUAAUACCGGAUAUGAGCUCCUGCUGCAUGGUGGGCGUUGGAAAGUUUCGGCGGUUGGGGAUGGACUCGCGGCUUAUCAGCUUGUUGGUGGGGUAGUGGCUUACCAAGGCUGUGACGGGUAGCCGGCCUGAGAGGGUGAACGGCCACAUGGGGACUGAGAUACGGAGCAGACGCCAACGGGAGGCAGCAGUGGGGAAUAUUGCACAAUGGGCGGAAGCCUGAUGCAGCAACGCCGCGUGCGGGAUGACGGCCUUCGGGUUGUAAACCGCUUUCGCCGGUGACGAAGCGUGAGUGACGGUAAUGGGUAAAGAAGCACCGGCUAACUACGUG